UACGGAGGGUGCGAGCGUUGUCCGGAAUCACUGGGCGUAAAGGGCGCGUAGGCGGCCGGCCUAAGUCGGGGUGAAAGCCUGUGGCUCAACCACAGAAUGGCCCUCGAUACUGGCUGGCUCGAGACCGGAAGAGGUGGUGGAAGUUGCGAGUGUAGAGGUGAAAUUCGUAGAUAUUCGCAAGAACACCGGUGGCGAAGGCGGCCAACUGGUCCGGAUCUGACGCUGAGCGCGAAGCGUGGGAGCAAACAGGAAUUGAGACUACCGGUAGUA
rnacentral:rRNA from 1 species